UGGUCAUGGUGCUUAAUUGCAGCAAUAGAAC
rnacentral:piRNA from 1 species